rnacentral:rRNA from 1 species
CCUACGGGUGGCUGCAGUGGGGAAUAUUGCUCAAUGGGGGAAACUCUGAUCCAGCAACGCCGCGUGAAGGAUGACGGCUCUCUGAUUUGUAACCUUCUUUUAUAUGGAAGUAAGAAGUUACGGUACUGAAAUAUGAAGCGUCGGCUAACAACGUGCCAGCAGCCGCGGUAAUACGUAGGGGGCAGGCGUUAUCCGGAUUUACUGGGUUUAAAGGGAGAGUAGGCGGCAAGGUAAGCUAUAUGUGAAAGCCUUAAGCUUAACUUAAGGAUGGCAUAACAAACUAUCUAGCUAGAGUACAGUAGAGGUAGGCGGAAUUCCUGGUGUAGCGGUGAAAUGCGUAGAUAUUAGGAAGAACACCGAUGGCGAAGGCAGCUUACUGGACUGAAACUGACGCUGAGGCUCGAAAGCGUGGGUAGCAAACAGGAUUAGAUACCCGUGUAGUC